rfam:Medicago truncatula strain A17 chromosome 2, whole genome shotgun sequence.
AAGAGAAAUGAUGAUAUUUAUCCAUACGGUUCUGUUUUUCAUGAUGAAACAAACAUGCACUACCAUCUGAUCUCUC